rnacentral:rRNA from 1 species
GACAGAGGGUGCAAACGUUGUUCGGAAUUACUGGGCGUAAAGCGCGUGUAGGCGGUCUCGCAAGUCGGAUGUGAAAGCCCAGGGCUCAACCCUGGAAGUGCACUCGAUACUGCGAGGCUAGAGUCCCGGAGAGGAUGGAUGGACUCUCGGUGUAGAGGUGAAAUUCGUAGAUAUCGAGAAGAACACCAGUGGCGAAGGCGGCUCACUGGCCCGAUACUGACGCUGAGGCACGAAAGCGUGGGGAGCAAACGGG